AUUUAAAAAAAAUUAAAUAUAUAUAACUGAGAGUUCCUAGCGUAAGUGACAAAGUGCUUGAUGGUUGGUAACUGAGGUCUCAAGUUUGAAUCCUAGUUGAUUCACAUUUCCAGCUGAAGCGGGUAAAAUUAAAAUUUUAAAACUUGAGUCCCUAAAAUCAGAUAUUUGUAUUUGUGGCGUUAUAUUAAUUUAUGUCCCACUAAUAAAUAAGUUAAAAUUAGCAUUUAAUCCCUUUUAGCGGCAUGUUCCGAAUGACACUAAUUGAUUUAUAUUAGAGGCAUGUUCCUAAUAACACUAAUUGAUUUACAUUGGCAGCAUUCAUUAUAAAUACUGCUAAUACUUUUAGCAACAUUGGCAUAUGCAACAGUUAGUGUCAUAUGCUGCUAAAAUUUUUAGUGGCAUUCGUUGAUCUUUUAGCAGCGUAAAUAAAUGUCACUAAUGACUAAUUUUCUAGUAGUGAAAUUUUUAAUUUUACUGCUAAAAUUUUGGAUCACAUCAUAAAUUGGAAUGGACCUGCGAAUUCAACAGAAUUUAAGAUAAUCCCUAUUGAGUAUAUAUGGAAGUGAAAACAAUGUCCUAAAUGAUAUCAAAGCAUAAGGUCUUGACUCCGAAUCUUUUGAGACUAAUUUUCUGCCAAAAUCUUUUGAUACUAAUCUUUAAUUUAGUUUUAGCAAUUUGCAUAUUUGGCUUUUAGCCAAAAUCUGCCAUUAGAUGCCAAAAUGUUUUGAGCACAUAAUAGUUAAAGGAUCAUUCUCUAAUAGCUUAGACCUGUAAAGAAAAAUAGUUCUCUCACCUCUAACCUACUAUUGUGCAAAUUGAUAUUAAGCUCAUCGUGCCCAACUAUUAUGAAUGGUCGAUGUGUAUUCAAUUAUUAUUUGAAUACUCUUGAUCUUACCAGUCAUAUUGAUGGUACCAAUCUAACAGUUGAUGAAACAAAACUAAAGCCUGAUUUGCUGCUGAUUGACGGGCACAUGGGCUUAUUUAUACAAGUGGAUAUCGACAUUUGUAUGCAAUUAAUCAGCCUAUCCACCAUUUACCAGAUGUGGUCUAUCUUUGAUCGAUAUAUAGAGACAAAUAUAUAGAUAGUAUAGUUAUGGUUAUUUUCUAAGUAUAGAAAAUCUGUAACAUACUGAAUUUUGGCUAAAUUAACAAAGUACGGAUUAAGUCAUGCUAGACACAAUUAAAAUGGGUUUGAAGGAGUGUAGUUUGAAUUUGGACCGAAUAUAAACUAAUUUAUAUUGAAAUUGAUUUUCAAAGAAGUGAAAACUGAAGUAUCAAACUUCUCGGAUGCCCGAAAUAGGAUCCCAAGCGCUCGAAACAGGAUCCCAAGCACCCGAAACCAUUUCGGACAGUGGGACUCACUUGAAGGAUGACUUUAGAGUGCCCGAAUGGCCCCAUAGGUGCCUGCAAAUUAACCUUUCAAAUCCUACUUAAGAGGAUCCAGACCCUCUUUCGGACUCCCAACCCGAGAACUUGGGAGGUGAAGGAUUGAAUAUUCGGUUGACCAAAAUCUGGCGCUCGAAAAAUCUUUCAAGCAGUCCCUCGCGGGCAUCCGAAUGUCUUUUGGAUGUUCAACCUGAGAGCGCAUGUGUGAUGGAUUAAAUAAUUGGACACCUGAUGUCCAUUUUGGGCACCCGUAUUAUGGAUAGGGCGGAUUGGCCGGGCAUCUAGACAAUUGACCAAAGGGAGCUACGAGGCUUUUGGGCUCCUAAAAGUUUGGACCGGCACCUGAAAGUCCGGACAAGUGGGUGCCCGAAUCCUAGUUAAAAGGUCGAGGUUUAUGGCUUUAUAAAUUUGGAUUGUCGGCGGGUUUAUGUGCUAUUAUAGCACGUCUAUGAGUAUCCUUUUAAUUAGUUAGCCCUAAUUUCUCUUAUAUUUCUUCCUCUCUCACUAUCCUCUUCUCUCUUUCUUUACAGUAAAAGAGCCCUAAAAUCUCUAUUGUUGAAACUUAAAGAUCUAUUUCCUUGAAAGCUUGGAGAAGGUCAAAUUCAUCAAGAGAACGCUCUUGGAGGGAGAAGAAGUCCAUUUCACCCGCAUUUCUUAUACCAGGAAGAGAAGAGAUCCUAUUAUUAUCUUUGAGGUGCGGGACCAUAGUAAGGGCGUUGUGGAGUAGUUAGACCAUGUUGCUGUAUGUUUCUGCUUCGUAUGGGUAGGGGAAAACUUGUCUUGUCCAGUGGAUCUAUUGUACAUGUCCAAGCGGGUCCAAUUGGUCGGACUCAAGGCAUGACACAAUCUCCACAGCUCAUCAAGAGGAGCGCAUAAUUUCGAUUUUCUAUGACUUUAUGCAGGCACUUUGGCAUCAAAUAGCAACUAUGGAUACCCUUAUGCCGCACUUGCUCAGCUUGUCAGUGUGCUUUCAAGCAAAAGCAAGUGCACAAUCAACAAUGUUUAUUCUAGUUCCUUAUGCACUUGCUACCUAAGUUUGAAGCCUUGCGUGGUCAACUUCUCCAUCGAACUCCAUUCCUCACCAUUGAUGCAGCUCUGGCGAAACUAAUUGCUGCAGAGACAUGCCUUCAAGUUCUAAGUUCCUCUAUUUCUGCGAUGCUUAUUGUCCUCGCUGCUCGUGAUCCUACAACUUCUCUACCUGCAUUAGUGUCUACUUCUUCUCAUCUAUACCUUCCAAUUCUUUUAGAAGUUAUAGUGCUAGACAAGACAAGUGGAGCAUUCGAUGUUGUUAUUGUUAUCUUUGGGCCCACUUGGUUCGACGUUAACCAAAAAAAAAAUGGAGAGAUCAGCAUGCAUGAGUAUUUUCGAAUGAGUUUCCUCUACUCCUUGCUAAACAUGAUACUUUGCCACAACUUUCAUGUAUGUGCAUCAACAAAAUGACAUUGCUGAGCGUAAGCACUGAUAUGAGACAUCUUUAAAACUGCUUACUCUCAUCUUAUAGAUGGGUCUACGCCUUAACAUUUUUGGGUUGAUGCUUUCUCUACAUAUGUGUCUAGUUUAUAUCAUGCCUUGUAGUCUCUUAUCUGCCAUAUCCCCCGGGGUGUGUGUGUGUGUGCGCACGCGUGUGUGUGUGUACACUUGUUUUGUUCUCCCACCCUGACAUGAAUGACCAAACUCUCCCUGAAAUUAUAUAUUCGUGUUUUCUUAGGCUAUAUCUUGAACACAACGAUGUUAUGAUCCUAUUGCUCGUCACAUGCAUAUUUCUCAAGAUAUCAUUCUUUUCUCGAACAUUUACCCAAUUAUGUUCAAUCUAGUUUGAGUGCUGACGUCAUUUCCAUUUCAAUGCUUAUAGUUGAUCUUUUUUCGCUUCAACAUUUCAUCAGCCACUAUUUCUUCUCCCGAAGAAUCCUAACCAACUGAUUCCUCAACUGCUACUUCUUCUCACCUUUACCGGCUCUAUUCUCUAUAGAUUUUCUUGUUGUACAAGCACCACCACAUGAGGACCACAUGAGGACCCAACAAGUAUCGCCUCAUCGGAUGAUCCGACCACCAUUGUGUAUCGAGAACUCGUCGUCCAAAAUAAUUUGUCGGUUCUAUUGACUCUACCUGCAUUUUUUUGUAUUAUCAUACAUUAAUUUCUUGCAGCUAUUUCUGAUAUCUGGGAACCACAAAUGUAUCGUAUACCGCUUCCAUUAUUGAAUGGCGGGAUGCGAUGACUACGGAACUUGUUGCCCUUCAUCGUGCUAGUAUCUGGUCAUUAGUUCUCCUUGCACCUGGCACCCUCUGCAACCUCUGAAAUUAUAUGGCUUGGAUAGUUCUUUGAUGACCUCGGUGCCCUCUACUCUGCUCCAACACAACCAUAUUGUGAUAAUCAAAGUGCGAUUAAAAUUGCGGAUAACAUGUCUUUCACGAACCCACCAACCAUAUCAAAAUGAGUCGCAAUUUCAUUCGCCGUUAUUAUACUAAUGGCACGAUAGCAUUACCAUUUGCUUCGUCCGUUCAACAGCUUACCGAUUUUUUCACCAAAUCUCAGUACAUUUGUCCAAAUCUUACACUAUUCAAAGAAAUUAGUACUUUUUGCCCAAACUCUUGUGGUGCUUGACCCGUCUUGAGUUUGCGGGAGCGUCAACAUAUAUAAAUAAAUAUUUUCAUUUACAUCUUCACUAUUAUCGAUCGGAGAAAAGAAAUUUCGUCGUAUAAUAAUUGUAUACUAUAUAGAGAUGUCUCCAUGUAUAUAUAUACCAUGUACCGAAUUAAUUAUCCGAUCUCUCCCUUGUAUAAAGAUAGAUGUCUCUUAUAUAUGAACAAUUAAUAGAAUCAGAAAGAAAUUAGGUUUUCGAUGGACGCACGCGAUCGAAACGGCCGAUUCGGUGAAAAAAUGGGUCGUGGGAGGUGUUAAUUCGCGUGCAAUUACUCGCGAGCGGAUCCACCACCGUCCUAACGAACUUAGCUGUCAUAAAUCAAAUUCAUCACAUCCAGGUAGGCAGCAUACAUAACUAUCUCCACCCU